rnacentral:rRNA from 1 species
GUCAGCUCGUGUCGUGAGAUGUUGGGUUAAGUCCCGCAACGAGCGCAACCCUUGUCCUUAGUUGCCAGCAUUAGGUUGGGCACUCUAAGGAGACUGCCGGUGACAAACCGGAGGAAGGUGGGGACGACGUCAAGUCAUCAUGGCCCUUACGACCAGGGCUACACACGUGCUACAAUGGUAGGUACAGAGGGCAGCUACACAGCGAUGUGAUGCGAAUCUCAAAAAGCCUAUCGUAGUCCAGAUUGGAGUCUGCAACUCGACUCCAUGAAGUAGG